GAAAUAACAUCUGCAGGGGAUACGAAUAAGUCAGGAUAAAACUGAGGUACUCGACUCGUGCAGGGGGAAGCGAUUUCACUAAGGAAAUGCGCACUCAACUCAACUAGGGAGAAAAUAAACUUCAACAUAGGAGGAGCAGAAAUCUAUUAUCUACUACCUGUUAGUGGGUAAGGAGAUAGUAAAAGUCUGACAGAGAGAACAUCCAUCAUCAGUUAAAAUGAUCAUAUCAAGGAUGAC
rnacentral:lncRNA from 1 species